rnacentral:rRNA from 1 species
ACAAGCAGUGGGAGCACAGGUUUACCUGUGUGACUGCGUACCUUUUGUAUAAUGGGUCAGCGACUUAUAUUCUGUAGCAAGGUUAACCGAAUAGGGGAGCCGGAGGGAAACCGAGUCUUAAUUGGGCGUUAAGUUGCAGGGUAUAGACCCGAAACCCGGUGAUCUAGCCAUGGGCAGGUUGAAGGUUGGGUAACACUAACUGGAGGACCGAACCGACUAAUGUUGAAAAAUUAGCGGAUGACCUGUGGCUGGGGGUGAAAGGCCAAUCAAACCGGGAGAUAGCUGGUUCUCCCCGAAAGCUAUUUAGGUAGCGCCUCGUGAAUUCAUCUCCGGGGGUAGAGCACUGUUUCGGCUAGGGGGCCAUCCCGGCUUACCAACCCGAUGCAAACUGCGAAUACCGGAGAAUGUUAUCACGGGAGACACACGGCGGGUGCUAACGUCCGUCGUGAAGAGGGAAACAACCCAGACCGCCAGCUAAGGUCCCAAAGUCAUGGUUAAGUGGGAAACGAUGUGGGAAGGCCCAGACAGCCAGGAUGUUGGCUUAGAAGCAGCCAUCAUUUAAAGAAAGCGUAAUAGCUCACUGGUCGAGUCGGCCUGCGCGGAAGAUGUAACGGGGCUAAACCAUG